UUUAGUUUAUUAUAACAAAGGGUGUGUCUGUGUGACAAGUUCUUUCUUGUCAUCUAUCUCAUGUCGUACUUCAAUCUCACCAUUUCAUAAAGAUACAAAAGUCUUUUUUAAGCUAUGAGAGGUUUUUAGCAUAACUAGGUUAAACCCUAAACAUAACAUACUCAAAAUUCACUCCUCCACACAACCUUCUUCAUCUUCGUUUCAAUUUGGGAACUGAACAGAGACGAUGAUUUUGCAGCGUCCGGUUUCCAUGCUCCACAUAUGCCGAUUAUCAUCUCCGCCCAAACUCUUCUCACCAUUCAAACCUUCUUCACUGUCUUCUUCUUCUUCUUGUAUCAGAAUAAGCCAAUCUUGGCUUAUCCAACCAAAUCGCAGUCGAAUUAGAUCAUUUGGAGCUGCCACUGCCACUGCCGCCGCCGCCACCACCACCGCCACCUCCGCCACCGCCACCGCAGACAAAAAAGGAGGCGGCACGUUCUUCGCUGAAGAUAGCGUUACCUGGACAUCACUUGGAAUAUCAUUUCGUCUGUCUCAAGCCCUCUCCAAUAUGGGUCUCCAAAGACCCUCUUUGAUUCAGGCUGCUUGUAUACCUGAUAUACUUUCAAGAAAUGAUGUGGUGGUUGCAGCCGAGACCGGUAGUGGUAAGACCCAUGGGUACCUAGUUCCCCUGAUUGAUAAGCUUUGUGAAGCAAAUGCUGAGGCUGAUCAGGAAACGAAUCAGCCCCAUCGACUUGGUCUUGUUCUUUGCCCAAAUGUCAUGUUAUGUGAGCAAGUGGUUAGAAUGGCAAACUCUCUUUGCGAUGAUAAUGGUGAGCGUCUUCUAAAUGUUGGAGCUGUUUGUGGGCGACAGGGUUGGCCAGCUGAUGAACCAGAUAUUAUUGUGUCGACCCCAGCUGCUCUUCUGAAUUACCUUUAUGCAAUUGACCAAGAGAGGCGCCGGCAUUUUAAUUUUAUACGUGGUGUGAAAUAUGUGGUGUUUGAUGAAGCAGACAUGCUGCUCUGUGGGAGCUUUCAGAAUCAAGUUAUUCGUCUGAUAAACAUGUUCCGUUUUGACGAAAAACUGUUGUCCCGGCCAAAAAGUUCGAUGGAAGAGAAAGCAUCCGACUCAACUACUGAUACCCCAAUGCAUGUUGAAAUAGAAGAUUAUAAAGACUUGCAAACAGAUGUCAUCCAGGAAGAGGAUGAAAAAGCUGAUGGUGUUACUGAUGUUGAAGUCCAAACAGAAGAAACUGAGGCUGGUUUAAACAAGAGAAAAGAUUGGAAAAGGGUGAGAAAGAUUUAUGAGCGUAGCAAGCAGUACAUUUUUGUUGCAGCCACCCUUCCUCUUAAUGGAAAGAAAACCGCAGGAGGAGUUUUGAAACAGAUGUUUCCAGAUGCCAGUUGGGUUAGCGGAAACUAUCUCCAUCAUCACAACCCAAGAUUGGAGCAGAAGUGGGUUGAAGUUACAGUUGAUACACAGGUUGAUGCUCUUAUAAAUGCUGUGAACCAAGGCUCUCAGGCUUUGGAUUCGGGGGAUGGAUUAAAGCGAACCAUGGUGUUUGCAAACACUGUUGAGGCUGUUGAAGCUGUGGCUAAGAUCUUGCUGGGAGCUGGGAUUGAAUGUUUCCGUUACCACAGUGAUAGUUCUCUUCAAGAACGUACAAAGAACUUGGUGGAGUUUCGACAAAAAGGUGGUGUUCUUGUGUGCACUGAUGCUGCCGCACGGGGUCUCGACAUUCCAAAUGUUUUUCAUGUUAUCCAGGCAGAAUUUGCUACAUCUGCUGUAGAUUUCUUGCAUAGGGUUGGUCGGACAGCUAGAGCAGGUCAACAUGGACUUGUUACAAGCCUGUACACUGAAUCCAACAGGGCUCUUGUUGGUGCAGUUCAUCAAGCAGGGAUAUUGGAUGAGCCCGUGGAGAAGGUAUUUAGCAGGAAAAGGGGUUUCCGUAAUAAGCUAAAGAAGAGAGGUAUCAGCAAAGUUGGUGGUGACACAUUAUCUGUUGGAGAGAGAAUGAUGGCAUAAACGAGGAUGGUUUGAGGGACUUGGUACGUAACCUGGAAAACAAACAAAACCCUCAUAUGUAUAUUGAAAGAUAUAAUUUAGUGAGGACUGACAGAAAAUAGAAUGUGACAGCAGACUUGUCCGAGUAGUCUAUAUUGUACAACGCUAGUGCCGCAAUGUUGAGCCAUGGAAACACAAGGACCAAGUCAAGGAUCACCAGAAGAACUACAUGGAGUGAAAAAAAAAAAUUACAGAGCUGUUUUUCGUAAAUUAAGCUUCAUUUACAGGAAGAUACAUAUGUUUGGAUAUCGUAGUUGGCAUUUUCUAUUAAAUUUUGAAGUCUUCUAAUUGGUAUUGAUGGGUAGAAUGUUGUACAAUGGUGCAAGAAACAGUUUUGCAUGUAUUUUUUUUUAUUUAUUUAUGAAAUUAAAGUUGUAUAGCCUUUAUUUGA